CAAUAGCGUAUAUUAACGUUGUUGCAGUUAAAAAGCUCGUAGUUGGAUUUCUGGAGGGAGCGUCGGCCCGUAUUUACGAGUGCGUGACGUCUCUGUCCAUCCUUGCGGGAAGGCACGGCAUUGAUUUGUUGUGUCGGAUCGCAUCAUUUACUGUGAAAAAAUUAGAGUGUUCAAAGCAGGCUUUCGCUUGAAUACAUUAGCAUGGAAUAAUAAGAUAGGACUUUGGUGCUAUUUUGUUGGUUGAGCCUAAAGUAAUGAUUAAUAGGGAUAGUUGGGGGCACCUGUAUUGCGUUGUCAGAGGUGAAAUUCUUGGAUUUACGCAAGACAAACAGCUGCGAAANGGNNNGCCAAGGAUGUUUUCAUNAG
rnacentral:rRNA from 1 species